rnacentral:rRNA from 1 species
AUGGACGGCCUGCACAGCGCCGACGCCCGCUUCUCCCCCGGGAGGGCCAUGUCGCCUCAGGUGGGCGGCCUCGCUGAAUUGGUUGCCUCUGUUUUUUCAUUGGUCAUCGAAUGUCCACCCACGGAGACCAGCACCCUAUGGAUCGCCAAGCUCUGUUCAGACCAAAAGAUAAGCGCAGACAUAUAUUUUGCGGUGGCUGGAGUGUACUGGCAUGGUUACUUUUUGUUUGCACAGGCGCACGCACGCCCUUUGUGGGAGCUUGAAGAAGAGGGAAACAAGACCCGCCUGAGGCCGGGGGCCCUGCCUGACGAUGAAUUGGCUGCUAUUCUGCGCCUCAUAGUUGGGGACAAUCAGGAGUACCCGCCAAACGCCUUCAUUCCCCUGUUCCAGCGUAGGGAUCGGGAGGAAUUCGUCGCCUCCAGGCCGACCUUUGACGCGCGCGGGCUGGUGCCGCCGGCACCCACAGGAGCCCCCGCAUCGCCGAAGCCCGUGGAGGUGUCUUCUGACGAGUCCUGUGGGGAAGGGGAAGAGGAGGUGGACUCGGAGAAGACUCUGGAAGAGGUGGGGGACACUUCCCCUCUGAACAAGGCCGAGAUCCUCCGCGCCGUUCCUGACGAUGCCGAGGCCGACGCCCGCCAAGGGGAGAGGGAGCAGCCCCUCAGCCCGAUGAGGAAUAUGAGAUUCGUGGAGAUUUUAGGGUUUGCAUGCGGCGCCUCAGGCGUUGCAGGGCGACCCGUUGAAUUCGAGCAAAGAUCGUUUUUUCAGCUGCAGAUGAGACCGGACAGGAAUCUGAUUCAACGUCACCAAUACAUGUAUGGAUCCGAGUCAGAUUGCUGCUCCUCUUCACGUCUACAUCAGUACGGAGCAAGGCUGUUGCCGAGGUCAACAAGAAGUCUGCAGCCGGCCGGGUUGAUGAUUAUUGUCUAUGGUUCUGUCAAAAUUGCCGCUAAAGUCAUAGUAUGUUUGAGGGAGAACAGUACGCUCAGAAAUUCUUUAAAUACCGUCAUGCAACAGCACGAGUGCAUGGUCGCCUUUUCCGUCGAGCCGCUGCUCCUCUGUGACCGAUUACUACUGCCACCCGGUCGUCUUCACUCGUCGGCGUCGUUAAAUAGCCAGCACUGGGCCUCAACUCCAAGUUGCUAA